GACGAACGCUGGCGGCGUGCUUAACACAUGCAAGUCGAACGAAGUGGCGAACGGGUGAGUAACGCGUAAUCAACCUGCCCUUCAGAGGGGGACAACAGUUGGAAACGACUGCUAAUACCGCAUACUGAAGGAGGGGAUUGCGUCGGAUUUGCUCGUUGGAGGGGUAACGGCCCACCAAGGCGAGGGUCAGUAGCCGGGCUUGGAGGAAGGACGGGCAAAUUGGGACUUGGGCACGGCCCAGACUCCUAAGGGAGGCAGCAGUGGGGAAUCUUCCGCAAUGGACGAAAGUCUGACGGAGCAACUCCGCGUGAUUGAUGACGGCCUUCGGGUUGUAAAGCUCUGUUAAGCGGGACGCGGUACCGGAAUAGAAAGCCACGGCUAACUACGUGCCAGCAGCCGCGGUAAUAC
rnacentral:rRNA from 1 species